AAAAGCCAUUCCACGAGAGCAGAGCCAGUUCAAAUUUCAUCUUCUCCCAGAGUCACCUGUCAACUUCCUCAGUGCACAGUAACCUGGCUACUCACUGACUCAGGAACCAUGACAAAGGAUUAAGAUCAGUUUUGGUCAAAUGAUGUCUCACCUA